rnacentral:rRNA from 1 species
AGACCUCAAAUCAGGUGGGACUACCUGCUGAACUUAAGCAUAUCAAUAAGCAGAGGAAAAGAAACUAACAAGGAUUCCCCUAGUAAUGGCGAAUGAAGAGGGAAAAGCCCAAAUUUGUAAUCUGGCUCUUUCAGAGUCCGAGUUGUAAUUUUAAGAACUGUUUUCAGUGCUGGACCAUGUAUAAGUCUGUUGAAAGGCAGCAUCAUAGAAGGUGAUAAUCCUGUUCAUGAUGUGGACUANCCAGUGCAAUAUGAUACAGUCUCUAAGAGUCGAGUUGUUUGGGAAUGCAGCUCAAAGUGGGU